GCCGGGUGUGGUGGCGCACACCUGUAAUCCCAGCUACUUGGAAGGCUGAGGCAGGAGAAUCGCUUGAACCUGGGAGGCGGAGGUUGCAGUGAGCUGAGAUCGAAAUCGUGCCACUGCACUCCAGCCUGGGCAACAGAGUGAGACUCUGUCUCAA
ensembl:misc_RNA Metazoa_SRP Metazoan signal recognition particle RNA